AAUUAAUCAUAGGUUGUUACCUAAUGUCUUUAAGAGUUUGGAACUUUAUGGACUGAUGUAGGCCAUACCAGGUCUAUGCAGAUAUAUGUAAUCAGGAACCAGGGGGAGUGUAUUUUAGACCUUUAGGAAUUGAUGUAGCCUCUAAGACAGCCCAGUAGGGUGAAAAACUAAAUCUAACAUUCCGGCCUCUUGAUGAAGCAUGUCACCCCCUUCUAGCAGGCUUCCUGGACAAGUGAACUUCAUGUGCCCCUUUGUGAGGAGCCAGGGAGGCACUGGAAAGCCACAUCCACGUUGAUCCUUAACUCAUGUAUGUCCUUUUUACUGUUUCUUACUUCCUUAAUAAACUAAAGUUAAAGCAACCUUAAACUAAUCCAAAAUCAUUUUCAUUCUCACUAGGAAUGUAGAUUAGGUUUUAGGAUCAAGCCAACAUAGCAGAAUCUUCCAUUUUUCUUUUUGUAAAAUGCAAACAACACCUGCCUAAUGAAUUUCUCAAUUUUAGAAAAUUCUAACACACGGAUUCUUUUUGCACUCAAUGACGUUUCACAUGUAGCUUUUUUUUUUUUUCUCCUAACAUGAGGCAUUGAAAUUUUAAAUAUAUAAGAGGUUAGGAUAUUAUUGUAAGUGUUCAAAAUAUGGAUGGAAAGUCACCCAGGUUGACCACAAGAGUCAGAGUAGUGAGGAAGGCUGAGGCAGCUAUCCUUGUUAGAAGUAGGUAAGAAUGACCAGGUACGAGAGGAAGACCAAGAGAUGGCAAAGAGGAAUAAAGGGGUCUUAGAUAAGGUCCCUGGAGAAAUACCUGAGAUUUGAUCCCCUCAUGUACAGAUCUACUGCCCAUGCAAUCCUAGUGCUUCAGAGACAAUUCCAAGACCUUGGAAGUGCUUUCCAGGUGCACACUAGACUAAGGACAAGGCAUUUUUAUGUUAUGGUUACUAAUGAAAUCUGUCCACACUAAUAGGAAAGGGGAAAACAUUCUAGACAGCAUUUUAAAAUCAAGACAAGUUGUCCUACUAAAUACUUAGGAAAAAAAAAUUAGAGCCUAUUUUGCAUGAAUUGUUAACUUCUAAAAGGAAAUGGAUGGGGAUAAAAAUAACUCCAUAGGGAUUGCUCUCUUUUAAAGAACUCAAGAGAAAAAUAAAACAGAAAGGAGAGAACAGAGAAUAGACACAGGCAAUAGAACUCUGAGUCGCUGAGAGAGUCUAUGUUUUAUAAUCUGCUUAUUUAUCAGCAGCCCGGGUGGGAUCACAGCAGAAUAGUCCCAGAGAGCACUUCCUUUAAAAGAAGAUUUAAUUUCCACUUCUCUCAAGAGUGUGGGGUUGUAUCUCUGGAAAAUCAGCAAUGGGAGGAUUCGCUUUAACUAGAGCAGAAGCUACUGCCAGUUUAUCCUUUUAAAGCCUCUAGGCAAUGUGAUAUUUCUCCAGUCCCUUGAUGUGCAUUCAUGGAUAUUCUAACAAUUGACGCUUAUCCUUAGCUGUUUACUGGGAAUUAAAUAUGUUGGAGGUUACUAUCCCUUCUCAGUUGGAGAUGAAGGCUACCUUUUACGUUGGAGAAAGCCAUCUCCUGUGAUGACUGAGAAAAUCUGAACUGAAUUUUCAGACCUUCUUCAAAAAUCCAAAUCCCUCUUAUCAUAUGUUCUCAGUAGGCACAGAGAAAUGCAGAAGAAAGAUCAAAGAGUUGAAUUGACCAUUUGCUCAAUGGAGUUCCUGUACAGCUCAAUCUGCCAAGGAAAGUCAUGUGACAAAGCCAUUCCCCUGACUCAGGUCCUAUAGCUUAUCUUUAUUUAACUAGCAAAAACAGAUCCCAUGAUCCAGUGCCUCCACACUCCCUCCUUGGGCAUUGCUCCAGUCCAUGCCAUUAAUAUUCCUUGCCUGAAUAAGCUGGUCAUGUCCUGGUUAGUCUCACUGCUUUUCUUGUUCUCCCUAAGGUUUCUUUUCUGUACAGCAGCUAAGGUACUUCUUUUAAGGAGUAAACCAGAUCUUAUUACUCACCUGCUCAAAGCCCACUGGCAACUUCACUUCACAUUCCUAGUAAAAUCCAGACCUUGGCCAUGGCCACAAAAUCCUACCCAACCUGGCUCCUCGUUCUUGGUUAUUCCUCUGACAUCAUGUCUUAGCUCCUGUGCCUUCACUCAGUAUAAUCAGUCAUACUGGGCUUUUCUCUAUCUAACAAGUUCCUGCUCAGGGUAAUAAUACUUAAUUUUGCCUUAUGUCUAGAUUACUCUUUCUCAGUUACUCCCAGGGCUUGCUCUAUGGAUUAGUUCAUAUGUCUUUUUUAAGACACCAAUCUCUUGGACCAACAGACGUAAAAUAGAAACAUUUGGUUACCACUUGCUUAUUUUUUUCUUCAAAGCUCUUAUCUCUGUGUUUAGAUUACGAUCUAUUUUCCCUCUCCUUUGAAGCCAGAGUAGCAGUGCUGUAUUUCUAGGGCUUAUAAGACUUUCUGAGGCAUAGAGGACACUCAGGAAAUAUCCGAUCAACUAUAAAAGGAGGGAGUGAAAGAGGGAGCAAGAGAGGGAGGGGAAACUAGAAGGGAUAAAUAAGGAAGUAAGGAAGGAAGGGAAGAAGGAGGAAGGAAGGAAGGAAGGAAGGAAGACUUUAAAAAUAAAAAAACUAAGCAAUUUAGAGAUUGUCUAACUUAUUACCCAAGAGGAUGAAAUAUAGAGCUUUAUUUAGCAUACCAAAAAAAUAUAGGUAAAACCCUAAUUCCUGAGAAAGUUCAGAUAUGCAAACCUACUUUUCCCCAUUGAAAGCAGCCCGUGUUUGUGGUGAGGGGACUGUGUGGUGAUGAAGAGGAAAAGCAGUUUUAAGUGUUGUUUUUGUUUCAUUUUUACUAACAAUAUACUGACAAGUAAACAAACACACACAAAAAAUAAACAAACCAAAAUGUAGGGGGACAAGAAAACAGAGAGAACUGAAAUUGUCAAUUAGCACCAGCUACGAAUCAAACUUGUGAGAAAAAAGAAUGUAUGUGCAACUGGGUCACCAUGCUGUAGAGUAGAAAACUGACAGAACACUGUAAAUCAGCUAUAAUGGAAAAAAAAUAAAAAUCAUUAUAUUAAAAAAACCUUUGAAAACUUAUUGCAGAGACCAUCUUACUGAUACUGCUCAUUUGCCUAAUUUUCUCAUCUAUUGUAAAAACCAACAAACCACCAUGAACACCUGUACUUUGCUUUAUGGAUAAUUUCUUCCCAGUUUUGAACAUUGAUAAAUAAAAUCUGAGCAAAUAUUUUGCUUUACCUCAAUUCACCAUCUAGUGGCAAAGUAGGUAAAUGCAGGCCUCCUAUUUAGAAUAACACCUCUCCCCACAAAGAUUUGUUUCAUGCUUCCUAGGUGCCAAGCACUGGGCCUAGUACAGUAUUAGGCCGAGGUGCUGAUAACAUUUCAAAAGUAAUAUACUUAAUGACAAAACUUCAAACUGGGAAUCAUCUUCCCAUUUAGUAGAGGAGGAAAACACAGCUGAGAGGGAUUGCCAUGGGAUGCAGCCCAGCUGAUACGAGAAAGCAUACUCCCAUCCAGAACUGCCACUGCCCUUACCUACCAUGCCAUAAUGUCUCUCCUUAAAUUGGAGAUAUAAUCUAUGGAUAGGUAACAUUUUUUUCUUGUGAGAAAUUAGCCUGAACUAGGCACAACUGACAAAUAAAUAGUUAUCACACAGUCAUAGUGAAUUUCAAUUUCCAGAACAAGGUAUGUCCUUCGGACGACCUGGUUACUAACACAGAACAGCUUGGGGGAUAAUUCCUGGUGUCUGCACAUGGGAGCAAUAGCAGCAUGAUGACCCUUAAAUAAUGGGAACUUGAAGAAGUCAACAAAUAAUGAUUGAGUUCAUUUCUCUAAAGGAGUACAUCCACCAAGGGAUGAACAUAUUUGUGGGUUUAGAGACCAAAGACAUUUUAGUUAAAAUGACACAAAAUAAGAGAAUUUGAAUGUGUAUCACUAGCAAAUAUAAAUAAAACCAUAUUACAGACAACUGGUAAAACAAUAUGCAGUUGGAAAAUGUAUCUAGAAAAGCUGAACUCAAAAGAGUAAGAAUUUGCUUUGGGACAUAUUAAGGCUAUUUACAAUAUUCCAAUUCUUAUUCUUUAAGGUGUGGACUAUGCUUGGAAUAUUCUGUGCUUAAAAGUCAGACAUGGCCAUCUGUCUUUCUUUAGCCAAUGGUGUAUGAGAGACAGCUUUGUGUUUCACUUAUCAGGACGAAGCGGUUAAAAGCUGGUACACGAUUUUUAUUUCCUUUUCCUUGAUACAAUGAUGGUGAGGUUCCUGACAGUGGAGGCUCACGUCAGCUUGGGUCCACAAUGAGAACAAUGAAGACAAGCUCCAUAUGGAUGUGUGCUUCCAGUGAGAAAUAAACCUAUGCUGUUUUAAGCUACUGGGAUUUGGACAUGGCUUGAACCACAUGAGUUUUAAAAAGCUCAUCCUGAAAACAAAGUCCAAUAUGAGGUUAUUUUGACAUUAUUUAGGACAAAGUGUCAUCAGAGUAAGACUAUUUCAGGUUUAUCAAUGAAAUGCAAAUAAUUUUAUCCGUAAUCAUCUUGGUGCCAUGAGCCAUUGAUAUGGCCCAAUUAACUCAAGUGUAUCUGAUAAUGCUUUACUAAAAUACCUUCCAAUGAGAACUUUUCUUACUAUGUAGCCUAUGGGAAGAUGGUAACUAAUAUGAAAUAGCUGCCCUGCCUGUCAAUUAUAUUUCUUCAUUAUUAAACUGAUCCCUUGGCAUGAACUGUUCUCCAGAGUUCUAUUAGUUCAGUUAAUGAAGCUCUGACCCUGUGAAGUGAGGGCCCAUUGGCUGAAAUGUGUUUGAGGAACCACACAACUGCUUCUGAGAUGGAGAUGGAGAGGAAGGAGGGAAGGGAAAGGGAAAUAAAUUGCCUGCCUAUUUCUAACAAGAU
rnacentral:lncRNA from 1 species